rnacentral:rRNA from 1 species
UACGUAGGGUGCAAGCGUUGUCCGGAUUCAUUGGGCGUAAAGCGCGCGCAGGCGGAUGCACGCGUCCCGCGUGAAAUCGCCCGGCUCAACCGGGCGGGGUCGCGGGAUACGGUGCGUCUGGAGCACGGGAGGGGGCAGUGGAAUUCCCGGUGUAGUGGUGGAAUGCGUAGAGAUCGGGAGGAACACCAGUGGCGAAGGCGACUGCCUGGACCGUGGCUGACGCUGAGGCGCGAAGGCGUGGGGAGCAAACGGG